rnacentral:tRNA from 1 species
GCCGGGAGAGUUCGACAGGCAGAACGGCAGGCCCCCACCGGGCCUGUCACGUGCGGGUUCGAUUCCCGCUCCCGGCGCCA